AAAGUGUUAGUAAAUAAAUUACAUUAUCUUGUCAAGAUAAAAUAAUAAGUUAAACUCUUAUACAUUUUA
rnacentral:tRNA from 1 species